rnacentral:rRNA from 1 species
AUCAACGGCGACGAUGCGUAGCCGACCUGAGAGGGUGAUCGGCCACACUGGGACUGAGACACGGCCCAGACUCCGUACGGGAGGCAGCAGUAGGGAAUCAUACGGCAAUGGACGAAAGUCUGACGGAGCAACGCCGCGUGAGUGAUGAAGGUUUUCGGAUCGUAAAACUCUGUUUUAGGGAAGAACAAGUACCGUUCGAAUAGAGCGGCACCUUGACGGUACCUAACCAGAAAGCCACGGCUAAUUACGUGCCAGCAGCCGCGGUAAUACGUAGGUGGCAAGCGUUGUCCGGAAUUAUUGGGCGUAAAGCGCGCGCAGGCGGUUUCUUAAGUCUGAUGUGAAAGCCCCCGGCUCAACCGGGGAGGGUCAUUGGAAACUGGGGAACUUGAGUGCAGAAGAGGAGAGUGGAAUUCCACGUGUAGCGGUGAAAUGCGUAGAGAUGUGGAGGAACACCAGUGGCGAAGGCGACUCUCUGGUCUGUAACUGACGCUGAGGCGCGAAAGCGUGGGGAGCGAACAGGAUUAGAUACCCUGGUAGUCCACGCCGUAAACGAUGAGUGCUAAGUGUUAGAGGGUUUCCGCCCUUUAGUGCUGCAGCAAACGCAUUAAGCACUCCGCCUGGGGAGUACGGUCGCAAGACUGAAACUCAAAGGAAUUGACGGGGGCCCGCACAAGCGGUGGAGCAUGUGGUUUAAUUCGAAGCAACGCGAAGAACCUUACCAGGUCUUGACAUCCUCUGACAACCCUAGAGAUAGGGCUUCCCCUUCGGGGGCAGAGUGACAGGUGGUGCAUGGUGUCGUCAGCUCGUGUCGUGAGAGUG